rnacentral:lncRNA from 1 species
AUGCAGUUAAUGACGUGUACACGCAGCUGCCGGGAGACUCCACACAGCUCCACCAGAAAGUCAGAUGAGCAAAAGCAAAGGGCGGGGCCGGGGGGCAGCAGGAAACAGCCGCGCCGUGAGAGGCGGGCUGGAGGGCGCGUAGGUGAGCUGCUCCUCGGGUUUAGGCAACAAACCACAGCAAAAAUUAUCAUAAAAUCCUGCUUUUCACUUCGCUGGGCUUCCUCAGUGCGUCCCCAGCGCCCCUCGCCCUUCUACUCAGCAGCGGUGUGCGAGCAGCCCUCCCGCCGCGCCGUCCCGUCCCGUCCCGUCCCCCGGCACGCCCCUCACCGGGAAAGGCCACUCAGCCCCUCCGCUCCCGAGCCGCCCCGUCCCCACAGGCUCUCUUCCCCGGGGGAAGGGCUCCCCCGCUCCCCAUCCUCCCCGCUCCCGAGCCUGGGCACCUCCCGAAAGCUCGGGCUGCCACCGCGCCUGGGACAGGGAGCUCCCAAGCCCCCUCAGCAUCGCCAGGCCACGGCACCUCCCGGCACUCACCGGCCCUUACCCCGGGCGGGCCCGGCGGCUGCACCGCCGUGUUACGGCGUUGCCGGUGGAGACGGUCCGCCCGCUGGCGGGAGGAGCCGGCGCCGCUUCCCGUCGCCAGGGAGCGCGGGAGGCGCGCGCCAGGCCACCCCUGGGGCGGAGAGGGACGGAAAAGGCCGUGGGUCAGCGGGGUCACCGGGCCUGUGCUCGCCGCCCCACGGGAGAGCCCCUCCCACAGGGCACACAACCGGCUCAGCCGCCGGGCUGCCCAUACUCGCCAUAGCAACCGCGCGGCUUCCAAUUGGUUACUGCGCAUGCGCAGCGUCGUCUUUGUGGUUCGCGUCUUCCCCCGCGAAACCGCGUGCGACUCGGGAAAAUACGGAUGCGUUUCCCCGAUUUCCCGGGGGGUCCCAGGUGCCCGGGGGGGUUCCUAAGGAGGGGAAGGCGCUUUUCCGAGGGGGAGAGGGGAGGGAGGUGUGUGGGGAGCCCCAAAACUUCGGGGCGGGGGUGUGUGUGUGUCGUAAAAAUUCGUCCGGGCUGCCCAUACUCGCCAUGGCAACCGCGCGGCUUGGGCUUGGUUAG